UCCUCAUGGUCAUCGCACGCAGCUCC
rnacentral:piRNA from 1 species